GAUGAACGCUGGCGGCGUGCCUAAUACAUGCGAGUCGAGCGAACAGACGAGGAGCUUGCUCCUCUGACGUUAGCGGCGGACGGGUGAGUAACACGUGGAUAACCUACCUAUAAGACUGGGAUAACUUCGGGAAACCGGAGCUAAUACCGGAUAAUCUAUUGCACCGCAUGGUUGAAUAGUGAAAGACGGUUUUGCUGUCACUUAUAGAUGGAUCCGCGCCGCAUUAGCUAGUUGGUAAGGUAACGGCUUACCAAGGCAACGAUGCGUAGCCGACCUGAGGGGGUGGUCGGCCACACUGGAACGGAGACACGGUCCAGACUCCUACGGGAGGCAGCAGUAGGGAAUCUUCCGCAAUGGGCGAAAGCCUGACGGAGCAACGCCGCGUGAGUGAUGAAGGUCUUCGGAUCGUAAAACUCUGUUAUGAGGGAAGAACAAAUGUGUAAGUAACUAUGCACGUCUUGACGGUACCUAAUCAGAAAGCCACGGCUAACUACGUG
rnacentral:rRNA from 1 species